rnacentral:rRNA from 1 species
GAUGAACGCUGGCGGCGUGCUUAACACAUGCAAGUCGAACGGACUUUACAUGAAACCUAGUGAUUGUAAAGUUAGUGGCGGACGGGUGAGUAACGCGUGAAUAACCUGCCUUAUACUGGGGGACAACAGUUGGAAACGACUGCUAAUACCGCAUAAGCGCACAGUACCGCAUGGUACAGUGUGAAAAACUCCGGUGGUGUGAGAUGGACCCGCGUCUGAUUAGCUAGUUGGUAAGGUAACGGCUUACCAAGGCGACGAUCAGUAGCCGGCCUGAGAGGGUGAACGGCCACAUUGGGACUGAGACACGGCCCAAACUCCUACGGGAGGCAGCAGUGGGGAAUAUUGCACAAUGGGGGAAACCCUGAUGCAGCGACGCCGCGUGAACGAAGAAGUAUUUCGGUAUGUAAAGUUCUAUCAGCAGGGAAGAUAAUGACGGUACCUGACUAAGAAGCACCGGCUAAAUACGUG